rnacentral:tRNA from 1 species
AAUAAAAUAAGUUAAAAUAAAAACUGAUGUAUUCAUAAUUCAUUACUCUUAAUAAAAUUUAGUUUUAUUA